CGUUUCUUGUUCCCCGUUUCGUCAGCUUCGCGCACUCUCUCACAAGCGCGUUACUCGUCGCCUCCCUCUUCCUUUUCUCGUCGUCGUCGUCUCAGCCCUCUCUCCCUCAGUCGCCUCCCCGCAGACACAUUUUGCAGCUGCCACGACAGCUUGACUAGCUCUCCUGUCCGUGUGUCCCCCCAUCGUGUGCUAGACCUCACCAGAAGCGAAGACGGAUUGUGCGGGUCUGUGCGUGCGUGUGGUGUGUGUGCCAGUGCCCCUUCCCCCCCCCCUCUGCAAAUUACACGCCCACAUCACGCACCGCUACACAACCCGAGAGCGCAGGAUUCGCGCGUCGGCGCCAUAGUAGAAUGAGCCAGGCGAUCUGAUAGUCGUCGCCCAACGUUGCUCUCUCUCUCUCUUCCCUCAUUCCUUCUCUCGUGCGGCUCGUUAUCCGUCAGCUGCACGUCUUAGGUAGGCAGGCACUUAGGUAGUCGUGCCAUUCAUUUCAUUCUGGUCGACGUGUACACUUGAGGUCGUGCAAGACAGCGCUGUCGCUUCUCUCGUUACGAGUGUUCGGUUCAGCGGCUGAACUCCACGGCGCCCCCCUCCCCUCCCCCUCCCUCCCUCCGCGUUCGCGUGCGUGGGGGGGGCGCAUCUCUCCGCGUCUCUCUGGCGCUGUGGCCUUGCUGCACACGUGGCGGAUUCAGCAACCAUGCCGAGAAACGCGACGACCGUGCCGGGGUUCUUCCCCUAUUUCGGGUUCAUGCUGAAGGACGUCGGCAGCCGCCUCUCUAUAAUCUCGCAUUACAUGCAGACGAAGCGACACCCUUACCCGAUGAUGCGGCACCAGAACGUCCGCGCCUACCGCGGCAUGCUGCCCUGGACGCAGGACGCUUGCUUCAUUGCGCCGAACGCGUUUGUUGUGGGCAACGUGGUGCUCGGCCACGACACGGCAAUCUUCUACCACUCGGUGCUGCGCAACUACCACACGAAAAGCGCCACCAUCCUCGGCGAUCACACGGUUGUCAUGGACCGCACGACGCUGAUGGGGCAGAUCCGCGUUGGGCAAAGUACGUACAUCGGUGCCGGCGCCACCCUCGACUGCUGCGAGGUGCACGACAACGUGUACGUCGGCCCUGGAGCCUCCAUCGCGCUCGGCGCCGUCGUCGAGAACGGCGCGAUUGUUGCGGCCGGCUCGGCUGUGCCGAAGGACGCGCGGGUGUACGCGGGAGAGCUGUGGGCGGGCAAUCCAGCGCAGAAAAUCGCAGAUGUCAGCCCGGCCCAGUCAAGCGAGGUGCAGCACAUGGUGCAUGACCAGAUCCAGGUGGGCAAGGCGCACCUCCAGGCGAUCCGCGACCACGUCGAGCAAACGAAGGAGCUCGACGUGAACUGGCUGAACGAGGCGGUUACGAUGAUGGAGGCGCAGCAGCAGCAGAUGUCCAUCAAGCUGCCGAUGGAGAUCCCGCUGGAGGCGCGGCGGUUCCUGCAGCCGCGUGUGCACAUGCGCCGCCCGGAGAUGCACAUGCGCAUGUCCUACCCGGUCAACCGCACCGCGCCGUGGAUGCCAAAGUCUGGCGACCAGACCGCGAACGUGUAAGCGACAGCGGCGCAACAGGUUGCUGGCUCUGUACAUGUAUGUUUCAAUGACACCUUGGCGUCCGUGUGGCGGGAGGACUCCUCAGUCGGUUCUCUUUGGCUGUGUCUCUGCCUGUGCAAGCGGGUGCUUGCUCAGUACGUGAACAGCGUGCUUUCUUUCUCUUCUCCUCUUGGUCUUGUUAUCGCUACAGGAAGUCGCUCAAGUCGGUGGUCGAGGACGGAUAUGAAGUCGUGGACUCGGACGUCUCUCCAUCCCUCCCGCCGGGUAAACGCCGGGCUGCUGCUGCGGCGGCUGGUCGCGGCACUGCAGCACAUGGGUCGAAGGCGAAGACCAAAGAGCAGUACAAAAACCAACCGCGGCUCGUGCCAUCAGUGGCGUACGAGACAAG
rnacentral:misc_RNA from 1 species